GCAGAAUACUUUUGGCAGUGGGAGGCAACAUGUAUCACCGAGAUUUCAGCCUCAUCUCAGCGACUGUUAUAAACCAACCCUUUUCACAACUGAACCACCCCUCUUCUCAACCAAAACUGGCUCCACGACCUACAGAUCUACAAUGGCUUCUCCCAAUCCACUUAACUCUCCACCGCCACGUUAUGGUCUGAGGCUUACUCUGCCUCUGUAAAUUUGAAAGAAAAAUGAAGAAUGUGAGCACUUGGUUAGCCUGGUGAAACCUAAUAUGGUAAGGUUAAAGGUGCUUCAUACAAUAACCAGAAGGGUAUAAGAUGUUUUAUUGGAAGAGGACAUGAGAGAAUCGCUGAAGACAAUUAAAAUAGGAAUUCCAGAUUCACCUUCAUUCCUAUAGAGAUUUUGAAGUGAAGUGAGAGGUCUCAUUUUUUUCUCUUCUCUUGAGUGGUGAAGACGAGAGUAAAUCUUUAAGAAAAUAGAAAUGGGUCGUCGAGAUAUGAGACGUGGAGGAGGAGCCAAUCGAUCUUCCAAGAAAAAAUCAUCUGGAUCUGUGGUUUCCGCAAAACACAAGAAAGGAACGUUGAAGAAACUGAGUUUAGCUGAUGAUGAUGAGAGAAUGAAUCGUAAGAAGCAAGAGAUGAUGAUGUGCUACGACUUCCCUUCUUCAGAUUUAGAAAACGAACAUGUCUCUCUAAAGAAGAAGAAGAUGAAAUCUUCUAAGCUUCUAAAAAAGGUUUGAAGUAGAGUAAUGGUGUUGUGCAUCCUCAUGCCUCUGUUCCAAGGAAGCUUCGUUCAGGUCCCUUCUUCAUUUUUUUAUAAAAAAAAUAAAUAAAAAAGGAAUGUUUUUUUUUUUACCAUAUGGUGGAGAGAUCUGUGCAAGUGUUCCUUAUAGAUAGCUGCUAUCACAUCUCCACUUCUUUCAUAAUAGAUAGCUGCUAUCAAGUUUGUACUUCCAUUCAGAUCAAAAUCUGGAACGACUCUCUCUCAGAAGGACAAAUAUGACAUGGUCUUUGUUGUUAGGUGAUAGCAGAUUUAUUUUAAUUGUAUAAUUAUUCCUGUGUUCAUAAUUGAUUAUGCACAAAAAAUUUAAUCACACUUUUGCACUUGGUAUUUCUAACUUUCUGGUGAUAAUACUUAAGGUUUUGGACCUUAUUUGAAAGGAUUAUGUGCAGUGUGGAUUGUGUAUAGUUUCUGAGCAUUUAAUCUGUGCAGUUUGGGAAUGGUACACAUUGGUUUGGAGCAAACGCAUGGCUCAUCAAUCCUUCUACCGCACAGUCAGCAGCAGCGUUUCCGCAUCUCCCUGUCGAGGAUGAGAUACGGGGAAGGAAUGGUGGUGGUCAAAGAAGUGAUGGAAGCUAUGAUUUGGUUCCAUGAGCCAACGAAUUUGUCACUAUCGCAUCUAUGCACUGCAAGUUCCUUAUGUGAGAAGACUAGGAGGUGAUGCAGCUCCUUAUGUAAGAAGCAUACCAAUCCAAAACCAACAUGGAGACGUUGUGAGAGGUGGUUACUUAAGGCAGAGGCCAAGCUGGUGGUGGCAAAGGGAAUUAAGGUGGCCCAUCUAGAGAUUGUCGUGCCUAAAAGUGGGAUUAAAAGUGGAAUAAAAAGCACUAACAUAGUAUUAGGAAGAUCGUGUAGAUAACAAUAGCUGAAGGUUUUCUACAGUUGUGGGUCACACUCCUAUCUCUCUAGGAGCAGCCGGAGCUAAAGUCUUUGUUGCUCAGACUUGUGCAGUGAUCUUUUUCGUAAUUUAGUGGCUACAUGAAAGUUUUUAAUUAAUCAUGUAAGCUAAAGCAAGUGUAGUUUGAAAGAUGCAAGGAAUUAUUAUUCACAA